GACGAACGCUGGCUACAGGCUUAACACAUGCAAGUCGAGGGGUAACGAGAGGAGAGCUUGCUUUCCUUGUCGACGACCGGCGCACGGGUGAGUAACGCGUAUCCAACCUGCCCCCAACUAAGGAAUAACCUUGCGAAAGUAAGACUAAUACCUUAUAAUUUCCUCAGAUGACAUCUGACGAGGAAUAAAGAUUUAUCGGUUGUGGAUGGGGAUGCGUCUGAUUAGCUUGUUGGCGGGGUAACGGCCCACCAAGGCAACGAUCAGUAGGGGUUCUGAGAGGAAGGUCCCCCACAUUGGAACUGAGACACGGUCCAAACUCCUACGGGAGGCAGCAGUGAGGAAUAUUGGUCAAUGGGCGGAAGCCUGAACCAGCCAAGUAGCGUGCAGGAUGACGGCCCUAUGGGUUGUAAACUGCUUUUAUACAGGAAUAAAGUUAGCCACGUGUGGUUAUUUGUAGGUACUGUAUGAAUAAGGACCGGCUAAUUCCGUGCCAGCCGCCGCCGUAA
rnacentral:rRNA from 1 species